AUGCUCAGGACCACAUCGUUGUACCGUGAAUUAUACAAAUGCACCCUUUUUAGAUCAGUGCUCAAGGUCUACGAUGAACUCGUGAGGGACGGCAUGCUUACGUGGGAAGCUUACAAAGAGCAUCGCUUCACCAUUGAGAGCUCAAUGCAAAGUAUCAGGCAUGUAUCCAAAGAUACAGAGAGCGUCGCUUGCAGGCUGGGCUAUUUUACUUGGCGCAUGAUUUAG
rnacentral:rRNA from 1 species